GCCACAGGCGCCCAGCCCAGUGAAAUUGUUCUUGAAGAGUUCUUGAUUCAGCGGAGGGAGGACACUCCAGGGAAAACACGUUUACGUUGUGAAGUGUAGGUAACUAGCACGAACGAACAGUGUCUUCAGAAACAGCGUAGGAAGGACGUCCCAGGCGGAGGAGCGUGCGCCCCUUACACCUGAGUUACGUUUGUUACUUGCGCUGAUGGCACAGGGAUCCUCUUACCCAACCCGGUGGGAGAGGAUGCUGCUUUCUCUGUUUUGCUUCCUGCCCUGUCCACGUGGUCAGGAUAGUGCCUGCCUUGGUGCGGUCCCUAGAUAAAUAAAUACUUGUGAGUGUCAAAUAAGUGGCGUCCUCCGUGCUCAGCCUGCUGUCGCUGCCCCUUCUGUUUCUGCUCCCAGCCCGUCAAGGGAAGUUCCAUUACUUAAGUUAGUGCAAGAGCCUGCAGUGUCCCCGGACAGGGUCGGUGGGGUGUCCACGCAGGAGCCUGCAGUGUCUCCAGACAGGGUCGGUGGGGUGUCCACGCAGGAGCCUGAAGUGUCCCCCGUACAGGGUCAGUGGGGUGUCUGCGUGGGAGCCCGCAGUGUCCCGGUACAGGUCGGUGGGAUGUCCGCGGGAGCCCGCAGUGUCCCGGUACAGGUCGGUGGGGUGUCUGUGCAGGAACCUGUAGUGUCCCCGGACAGGAUCGGUGUGGUAUCCACGCAGGACCCUGCAGUGUCCCCAGACAGGGGUCGGUGGGGGGUCUGCUCGCUGCAUUUGUCCCACCACUGCCGCAGACCGACGUGCUAAGUCCAAGGCCUUUCAAAUGCUUUCGGAAUUUGUCACGGUAUGAUCAUGCUACUAACACUGACUUAAUCAUAACAUAUAUCUUAUCUCUGUGAGUUUCACAUUCCAGUAAAACAGAAUUGUUUUCUCCUCCCAGAACAUGCUGUUUUCUCACCUAUAAACCGUUUCUUCAUGUGGUGCCCAGGCCGGGCACUCUCCCCUGCACUGUGCCUGCUGAGGUGACCUCCUCCACCUUCAGCACCACAACCUCCAGGAAUCUGUCCCUGGUCAGGAAUUCACCAGGGACAGCAGGAUGGCUGAUUUCUGCUCCAUGAGUCCAGGGCCUCCUCUGGAAGGCCGAGGCUCAUUGACUUACAUGUCUUUGACGUCUAUCACAUGAUCUUGGCAGUUGGCUGGGCCCACGGUUCACAUCUGUAGAGCCUCAAGGAGGGAAAUACUGUUGCAGAAUGCUCUUCUCCAUGGAGUGAAGCUCUGUAAUUGCGUUCUGAGCUCAGCAAUGGCGCUUUUGAGCUGGACCUUCUGGGUACUGCCGGUCCUUCAUUUCCUGCAGGGUGAGACAACCAGGGCAGGAUGCACAGCCAGGAGAAUGCUCACUGGGGCCGGGUUCUCAGACACCUGAGGGGCUCUCCGUGUGACCUGAGCUUUGGCACAGGGAAGCCUCACUCAGGCAACCAGGGAACAGCCGGCUGGAAGACUUCCCCUUGAAUGAAUCCUCUGCUUUGUGCCGCUGGACCCACCAAGGCUAAUAUCUUCCCAUUCUGCCUGCAUGAAGAAAUGGAAGGGUGCUCUCCAGGUACUGACUGGAAAGGGCUGCCUAACAUGUCAGGGUCAAGAACACUCUUCAUAAACUGGACCUGCACAGGGCUCCAUCUAGAGCAGGCUUUGAGCACCACAGAGCGACUGGUGCGUCUCCUCGGUUCUGAAAGCCUUUCCAUCACCUUCCAUUGUUCCUGGACUUUAGAUGCCUUUUAAAAUCUAUAUGAAAGGCAACCAGCUCAUCAGUAGAAUAGUUGUAAAUAUUAGCAAAUAUAUCUGUAUAUAAUUAAAGUUUCAACUAUAAUAUUUGUAACCUGAUUUCUUCCUAUACCCCUGGUUGCACGGUACAAGAAUACAUUUUAUUUAUUGGGGCAUAAUUUAUAUAGACCAAGUCAUAUCAUUUCAUUUUACAGUUUCAUGAGUUUUGACAACACAUACUGUCAUGUAAUCAAAACCAAAAUCAAGAUUUGGAACAGUUUCACCCCCCAAAAUGUUCCCUCAUGUCCUUCAGUUGUCGACCCCAACCCCAGCCUCUGGCAGUCACUGAACUGUUUUCUCUCCUAUUCUUUUCCAGAAUACCAUAGAAUGGAACUAUAUUGAUGUAGACUUUGUAUCCGACUUCUUUUGUUCAAUGAGAGUUAAUCUAUGUCACUGCAGACAUUAGUAGUUUUUUCUGUUUUAUUACCGAGUAGUAUUCCUUUGCAGAAAAUGUUUAGCAUUCAUCAUUUAAAGUACGUCUGUGUUGUUUUCAGUUUGGGGCAAUCAUGAGUUAAGCCAUUAUAAAACUCCUGUACUGCUCUUCGUGUGAAUGUAUCUUUUCAUUCCUCCUCAGCAGGGAGUUAGGACUGGGCAUCUGGGUUGGUCUUGUGAGGUGUGUGUUUAACCUUUUUAGGAAAUUGCUAAACUGUUUUCCAGAGUUACCGAACCAGUUUGCAUUCCCACCAGCAAUGCAAGGAGUUUCAUAUCUUAGUAUCAUCAGCAUAUUUAAACCACUGUAAAAUACCAAUAUGCUCAAUAUUAAUAUUCCAUGGUGGGAUAAACUGACAUUUCCCUGAUGACAAAAGGUUUUGAGCACCUUUCCCUGUACUUAUUUGUCAAUGUAUCUCCUUCGGAAAAAUGACUGUUCAAAC